ACAAGCCAAUGCUAAGUCUAUGCCUUGUCUUUCGAUCUGGAAUAACUUUAUGUCCUGUCACAGACUAAGAAUCUGAACGUUGGAGUUAUAUCACUGAAGAACUGACUUUGUGUCCAGGAGUUUUCUGGGUGACUAAGAUUAUCUACAUUCUGAGGACUCUCCUAACUAUUGUUCCCGUCUAGAUUACCGACCAAGAUGGCAGUUUCCUGCUUCCUCCAUCUCCAGGACCUAAGCGUGAGCGUACCCUGUCCACCCUCCAACGCAAGUAUCUGCACAAACGAACUCAAUUGUCUCCAAGCUCAACCAAGAAGCACCUAAGAAAUCAACAGAACAAACUCUGCUACAACAACCUGGAUCCCGAAUCUCUCUACCACUGGUGACCUGACCGCACCUUCUUAUUGGAGUUUUGCCCGUUUACGUUCCUGAUUAUUUUGUGGCACAAUAAAAUAUAAUUUCAUUCA